UCCUGGUCCCAAAUUAGUCUAAAAAUCUC
rnacentral:sRNA from 1 species